UGAGGAAUAUUGGACAAUGGAUGGAAAUCUGAUCCAGCCAUGCCGCGUGCAGGAAGACGGCCCUAUGGGUUGUAAACUGCUUUUGUAUGGGAGCAAUAAGGACUACGUGUAGUUUGAUGAGAGUACCAUACGAAUAAGCAUCGGCUAACUCCGUGCCAGCAGCCGCGGUAAUACGGAGGAUGCGAGCGUUAUCCGGAUUUAUUGGGUUUAAAGGGUGCGUAGGCGGCGAUAUAAGUCAGUGGUGAAAUAUUUCGGCUUAACCGAGAGACUGCCAUUGAUACUGUGUUGCUAGAAUAUGGUUGCUGUGAGUGGAAGGUGUGGUGUAGCGGUGAAAUGCUUAGAUAUCACACAGAAUAUCGAUUGCGAAGGCAGCUCACAAGGCCAUUAUUGACGCUGAGGCACGAAAGUGUGGGGAUCAAACA
rnacentral:rRNA from 1 species